rnacentral:rRNA from 1 species
CGUGGGUAACCUGCCCAACGAAGACUCGGGAGUAACAACCCUGGAAACAAGAUGCUAAUACCGGAUAACAACACUAGACGCAUGUCUAGAGUUUAAAAGAAUGGUUCUGCUAUCACUCUUGGAUGGACCUGCGGUGCAUUAGCUAGUUGGUAAGGUAACGGCUUACCAAGGCAAUGAUGCAUAGCCGAGUUGAGAGACUGAUCGGCCACAUUGGGACUGAGACACGGCCCAAACUCCUACGGGAGGCAGCAG